rnacentral:rRNA from 1 species
UACGGGGGGGGCAAGCGUUGUUCGGAAUUACUGGGCGUAAAGGGCUCGUAGGCGGCCAACUAAGUCAGACGUGAAAUCCCUCAGCUUAACUGGGGAACUGCGUCUGAUACUGGAUGGCUUGAGUUUGGGAGAGGGAUGCGGAAUUCCAGGUGUAGCGGUGAAAUGCGUAGAGAUCUGGAAGAACACCAAAGGCGAAGGCAGCAUCCUGGGAAGGCACUGACGCUAAUGUGCGAAAGCCAGGGGAGCGAACGGG